rnacentral:lncRNA from 1 species
CCGACAUCGCAGUGUUACCAGUCAUGAGCAUCUACUAACUGAUCUAAAACAGUAAGAGUAUAUAUAGUCUAUUACAUAACUAAAAAGGACAAAAUAAGAGAGGGGGAGAAGCAUUGAGCUACGAACGUCGAGCAGCUACCUAGUGAAUCUCUGAAACUGCCUGAGCGGAAGAUAUCAACCCUCGUUAGGGGGACCUGAAGCGCCUGAAUCUGCACACAGGGUGCAGGAAUUAAAGUGAGUACAUAAACUCAGUGAGUAAUAAUAUUAAAUGAAGACUGAUCAAUAAGAAAUCAUGUAAAAGCACAACAACAUGCUAUAAAGAGGCAGAGUAAAACCAGUAAAAUGCAAUGAAAAGUGAAAUCUCAUACAAACACCUUAGCUUAGUUUAAGCUUCUAUAAAAAAAUAUGUUUUUAACAGUUAGACAAGUAAAUGACAGGCAACUAGAAAACAUAAACACAUAAAAAUUGCCCAUUGGGCAAAAUACUAACAGAAUCAGCCCCUCGGGCAACAACAUGAAACAACUGCAGCCUAUCGGGCUAUAUCUCAUAUAACAAUGGGUACCGCACUGACUGGGGGUGUACAGACUCUGGGAAGGACCACUUACAGACUAAGCACAAUAUCAAGCCAUCACGUGGUAUAAUCACAUAGGCUCUUAGCCUCAUAUUAAUAAGCCACCUCGUGGCGUACAAUCUAAGACCCUCGGCCUCAUAAUAAUAAAUCAGUGUUUCCUCACAACACAGGCCCUCGGCCUUACUCAGUCAGAAUCUCAUAAGCCACUCUGGAAACAGUAAAAUAUGAUACCCAGCCCAAAUUAUCAUUUAAAAUAUCAUUUAAUGUAUUAAAAUAAAGUAAACAUGCCUGAGUUCUAAAAAUGGUAGAAUAUAGCAUGAGUGAGUACAAGUAUAUAGUCAAAACAGUGAGGAAAUAUUAGUAAAAGUCCCCUAAGGGUCUAAAUAGUUGGCACGAGGCCCAAACAUGGCAUUCCUCCCAAAACAUGAUGACAACAAACAAUUUUCAAUCAAAUACGCGGUAAAAUAGUCAUUUGGGACAGACUAAGUCACAAUCUCCAAUGGUGCAUGACCCCAUGCUCUUCAUCUAGCAUAUGCAUCACCUCAAUAUGGCAAAACGAUGUGUAAUUCGGGGUUUCAUACCCUUAGGACAACAUUUAAUAUCAUUACUCUCCCGUCAGUCUAGCGACUCUACCUCCCAGCAAGCAACUGAACUCGCUAAUCAGAGAUUGAGACGGACACGAGCUCAGUCGUGCCAUAAGGAAAAGACAACGGAAGAAGGCGACUGGAAAAAAGAAUAAUGAGAGGUCGUCACGCCUUGAUUCGGUCCAAACUCUAGCCUGCGAUGCCUUAGCCCCUCGUAUCGGCCUCAACUCACGUCGAAUCUAUCCAAAAACUGAAUCAUGACAUCAAAAUAUGCCAAGGGAACGAAUCCCAUGCGAAAAUAAUCAAUUUACAACAUAAAUCCAGAAAUUAACCAAAACCCGACCCCGAGCCUAUGUCUCAAAAUUCGAUAAAAUUUACUUCAAUAGAUUUCUUAUCUCCCAAAGAGUUCAUGCAUAUCAAAAGUCCAAAAAUUCGACCACAAAUGGCCCUUCAACUCCUCAAGUCAAGGUCUCCAAUACCACGCCCUAAUCCCCACUUUUUAACCCUUAAUAGCCAUUAAUCUUAGGCCAAAUCAGUGAAAUAAUGCUAUCUUACCUCCAGACGUUAUCCCUUGAAUCCCUCUUCAUAAAUCUCCCAAAAAGCUCCAACUGCGACUUGAAAUGGUGAAGAACAACUCAAAAAUCGUGUAGGAAUCCUUUUAUACCUUCUGGCCGAGGCAUUUCGCACAUGUGAUCCAGCUACCGCUUCUGCAGUCCAAGACGCCGCAUCUGCGUUCCUCACUUAAAUCCUCAAUUUCUGCAUCUGCGAUGCACAAUCUGCACCUACGCCAUCGCAGGUACAGUUCCUCAACCAUUUCUGCAGUUCUAGCUGACCUUCUACUUGGCUGCAUCUUCGACUCUCUCUAUGCCCCUGCAAGCCCGCACAUGUGGUCAGCUAGCCGCAUGUGCGGUUAUGACAGCAAUGAGACAUCUUCAGCUGCCAAACCAACUUCCAAGAUUUCCACCAAUCAUCCGAAAUUACCCCCGGACCUCAACCAAAUGCACAAACAUAUCAUUUACCACUGCUAAAACUUGCACAAAUCUUCAAAACACCUCAAACAACAUCGAAUCAACCAAAUCACAUCGAAGUCAAGCCUAAGAUUCCAAAAUCUUUUAAAUUUUGCUUUUGAUAAAAAAGUCUACUAAACCACGGCUGAAUGACCCGAAAUUUUACACACACAUCCGUAAUGACAGAAUGGACUUGCUGCAACUCCCAGAAUUCCAUUCUGACCCCUAUAUCGGAAUCUCACAUAUCAACAGGAAAAUGCCAAAAUUCUAAUUUUGCCAAUUCAAGCCUAAAUCUAUUCCGGACCUCCAAAACACGUUCUGAUCACACUCCUAAGUCUCAAAACACCUCCCGAACUAUCCGAACCACCAAAACUCACAUCCGAGCCCUCUAACACGUAUGUCAUCAUUUGGAUGACUUUUCCAACUUAAACUUCUUCAAAAGAGACUAAGUGUCUCAAACCUUACCAAAACCUUUCCGAAAACCCAAGCCAGCCAACCCGAUCACAUAUAUGACCUAUAAACAAUGCAAUAAGAAUCAUAAAUGAGAAAAACAGAGCGGUAACUCAUGAAAUGACCGACCGGGUCGUUACAAUUAGACAUUAGCCCAACAUGUAAUUAUGAAAAUACUUUUGUUUAAGUGUAUUACUCCAAUUAUUUUAUAAAGAGAAUUUAUUUUUAUAUAAUAUGCAGAUUUUAAGAUUGAAAUUUCAUAUAUGUUAACAAGAAUUAAUUCUACUUCGGUGCUAACCAUUGAUUUCAAAUAUCACUAUAUAGUACAUAUAAAUUGUUAGACGUGCAAUAUUUAUUCUACAUCAAACAAAUUUUGUUCUCAUUUAAAUAAUUUUUGUUUAUUUAUAUUGUUACUUAAAGUUGGUUUAACGUCAAUAUCUUACAUUUAUAUUUUAUUUUAAAUUCAUUAACUCACUUUAAUAUUUUGUGUAACUGCAGUAUGUUACUUUUUUGUUCAAAUUAGAUCAUAGAAUAUAUGGGUCCAAUAAAUUUUAUAGAGAACCACGUACUCUAUCAGGUUCGACAGUUAUACAUAUAUAGAACAGAAAUUAAAUGACAGAAGAAAUUUUACGUAGAAAAUUUUCAGCUCAACAAGAUUAAAAAUCAUGACCUAGCUAGGAGUAGACAUUCGGUAUUUCGGUUCGGUAUUUAAGAAUUUCGGUUCGAUAUUUCGGUAUUCGAUUUAUCAAUUGUUUAUGCCAAAUACCGUACCAAAUUAUUUCGGUACUGUUCGAUAUUUCUUAUUUUGGUUCGGUAUGAUGUCGAUUUAACCAAAACCCUUUCAGUUUCCGAUUGUUGCAUGACUAUUUCGAUAUUUCCCCUACACUAUUGCUGCUCUCUGCCUCUCCAUUAUAAUGUUCCAUAUUGGAGAUAGACACACGACUACUGAUACAAGAAACAGAAAAAAUGUAGGAAAGGGUUAUGCAUUCCUUAGUUCUUACUCUCAUUUCAGAAGCAUAUUAAUAAUAAUAAUCGGCCCUCAUUUCAGAAGUAUCUCCAGCAGGCUAAUUCUUAUGCAUUCCUUAGUCCUUCCUAAACAUGGAUCAAUUUUCAACUUGCAGAAUUAAACUAUACUGUACUUUACCAAAAUAUGUAUUAAGCCUAUGUUGUGCAACAGACAACACUCAACAGUGCAGUACUACAGUGUGCAUUCAACGAGCAAAGGAAUUGCACGGGGGCUUUAAGCUUGCUUGAAGCAUUCCAGAACAACUUGCAACAGAGCAGUGUCCAUCAACACUGUUAAUUAACACUUUAACAGACGUAACAUAUGCAUAAGAAGGAAAAAUAAUAUUUUUUGACACAUUCUUUGUAUUUUGGAUAAAAUAUUUCUUAGCUAUACCUGUAAACAACAGAAAAUCAGAAAUGGUUUUCAUUUAUGUAGGAGAAGCAUAAAUGAAACAUACUUUUGAAAAUUGAAAUCAAAUCGAGCUCGGAACAGUAACAUUUUGAUACUUCGACUAUUCGUUUGCCCGGAAUUUGUGAGGACUGAGGAAUCGAAUCGAGCUCGGAAAUCACCUAAUCGAAUCGAGCUCGCUAAUGCCCUAAUCGCCUACUCACAGUACUUCGUCCCUUCGUCGUCUAUCAGUAGAUUAGAUUCAGUACUCCUACCUAAUGAA